rnacentral:tRNA from 1 species
UGGCUCAGACAGUAAAGCGUCUGCCUACAAUGCAGGAGAUCCGGGUUCAAACCCUGG